GGAGGAAGGGUGCUCUGAAUGAUGUGACUAGAGAGGGGGAGAGUCCUGAGAGCCUGACUGGCUGCCUCAGUUAUGGGAGUGGUUCUCAAAGGGGCUGCAUGGUAUAACUGUUCAAACUUGUCCGAUCCCCAAAGAAAUGAUUUGGGAUUCAGCAAACACUGCAAUCCAAUGUUGAGACGGCUGAGAACCAUCAAACCAUGGAAUCAAUAUUGGAGCAACUGGAAUAGUAUCCAACACAAUCAGAGAAUAUGGGAAUAGGAUAACUGCAGGAAUGAGAUAGAUCCGUCCUCAGAGAGCAGCACAGGUCGAUGGCCGCCCGAUGCUAACAGCAUUACCCUGGGCUGCGAUUGGCCGACACCAGCGGAGGCUCUGAUUGAUCCGGCAGCUCUCUGCCACGCUGGAUCAGCUCUCCUUCAUUUGUGGAGGAAAUAUUGAUAUUGGCCGAUAUCUGCUGUCGGAAACCAGCUUUAUAGUUUUAUAAUCGCGGGGUAUUUUUAGUGCUUGCGUGCAGUUUUUUUUGGGGGGGUAGAGAAUUGAUACUUAAUGACGUUUCCAUAUUUUUUUUUUGUUUGAGUCAGCACCAGAAUUUCCAACAGGUCCUAAUUUCCUCCCUUCCAUCUGGAGAUGAGAGUCGGAGGCAAACGGAUCAAUACACCGUUUGACUCUGCUAUUAGGCCUAUGAGUUGUCACAAUGUAAACUACAGAUAGCUGCAUAUAUGCUUAUACUUUGCGAAUAAUAAAUAACACCAAAUAAAUAACCGUGUAAGCUUCAUAAUAAAUCAUGAAACAUUAAAAAUGGCUUUGAUAAAUUGA